UUUGCUCUUUGAUGAUAAAAUGUUUUCUUUAAUUUGCUUGCAUAAUGGUUGAUGAGUAUGAAGUUCAUUUUGUUAGAUCCAAUUCUAUAGGGUAUAUAUGUGUCCUCUAUAUCUCUAUGUGUUGAUGCUUCUAAAGGCACACCUUGUGAGGCUGGUGGCGUGGGCAAGUUAAAAGUGUUUGCGACCAAGUUUGGCAUCACUACUUCUUUUCAUGUAGAGUUAUUGGAUGCUUGUGGUUAUUAAAAGUGUUUAUUCUAAUGUCUUUUUUGUUGGAGAUAUAUACAUGAGCUUCAAGUUUAUAUUCUAAGACAAUAUAUGUGUAAAUAAAUCCGUGAAUCGUUGAAUCACUGCUUCUACUUUUUUGAUAAGAUUUUUCGUUUCAACAUAGUUGAGAUGCUUCCUUCAUUAGUGAUGAAUUUAC
rnacentral:lncRNA from 1 species